rnacentral:lncRNA from 1 species
AAAAGAAAGCAUGUUGAUGACUUGACUUGUGUGUUCUAUAGUGAACAUGAAUCUAUUCAACACUUGUUCUUUGAUUGUACUGUUGCUAAGGAAUUAUGGGUCAUUAUUUUUUAUAUAUGUGGUAUUUAUGUACCUUGUUGUUUUGCUAAUCUUGCUGUUUUCGGGAAACAAAAGAAGCAUAGAGAAGCGAUUAACAUUGUAUCAUCUGCUACCUUAUGAGGCUUAUGGUUGUUUCAUAAUGAAUUUGUCUUUCAAGGCAGGAGGUGACGAAACAUGCGUUGUAUCAUGGAUCUGGUGGGUUCUUUGAUCAGGCAAUGGAAAGUUCUAUGUUCGGACGUCCAGGGCGCUCUUCUUCUCUGGUGCUUAAGGCUUUUGGACCACAGAAGAGGGGGUUGUUUAGGAUCGCCUGGUAGUCCUAUCAGUUUUGGUAGAGUGGAGGUGUUUUUUUGCAAUUCCUAUUUAGUUUUUACUUCCUCGCUCUGCAAUGUAAGAAAAGUUAUUGUAAUAGGACGAAAACUAGAUGCACUUUGCCCUGUUUGAUCUGUGGCUGCUACCUUGGGCUGCCCAUAGAUCUUCUAACUAUGAACUUUGGUUUGCUUUGCCUUGGCUUAAUAAAGUUGGGGCUGGAGGAGACCCCUCUUUUUUUAAAUGAAGGUGAGUUGUAAGAGACAUACUUUCUAUAGAUUUGAGGAAAGAAGGAGAGCGACAUUUC